AACAAAUAUGGAGGUCCCUCUGAACAGUCUUCCAAGGACAGCAGCCAAAUACUUUUUUCUUCUUCUAGGGCUUACUCUGGAGCUGUAGACUGCUGAGAUCAACGCCACCAGCCAGACUGACGUGUGCUCUGAGUAAAGCACCAGUGAGACCAGAGAAUCCUUCCCCGGUCCUCAGGUGCAAUGAGCGUUCUCUCCACUGACUUUCAUGGUGAAUUUCGGCAUUUCUGAGUCAACUCCAGUGCUGCCUGGGUGACCCUCAUGCCACACGGAAGACCUGAAGACUUGAAUUCCAGCUCAUCUGCAACAGUUCCGGCCAGGGCUGUGCCCAGGUAGGAGGUGUACCAGGGGCUUUCCUCCAUCUCCCACCCCGCUGCUCACUUCAAAGACAGGGUCCUUGCUUUAUCCCAGGUUUUGUUUGUAGGUGGCCAUGCUAAUCCACCUCCCACCCCUAGUAGUUGGUGCACAUUAAGAGCUCAGAAAAGGUUAGCGGGAUGCUAGAAAUGGUUAAGGAGAUAGCCACCAGUGGUUCCUGCUCCUGAUUCACUAUUCAGCAAAUAUGCAUUGAGUAUAUUCUUCAUAACAUACCCUGAGGUCAACACUGGGAAAAUAAGAUACCAAGUCCAGGGAUGGCUGCUGGACAUGGCAGCUAAGACAGCCACAUCUGGGGCAGGUGUUGUGGCUUCUUGGGAUGCCCACAUCCUGUGUGGAGUGCUGCUCUGAGUCCCAGUGAUGCUGCUUCCAAUCUAGCUCUCUGCUACUGCCCCCGGGGAAGCAGAAGAUGAUGGCUCAAGUAGUUGAGUCCCUGCCACCCAUGGGUGCACCCUGGGCAACAAGACGAGGCCUCCUGCAUGCUUCUCCACUUCCCUCUGCUGCCCCAAGCCUGUACUUGCGUGUGGGUUUAGCUACCUGCAAGGGCUUCCCAGAAAACAGAAUUUUCCUAGUGAGUCAAGAUUAUAUUUUUUACCCAAAAGUGAGGGCAAAAUGCACUAGGAAUCCCACCUUCUAAUGCAAGCCUCAUUGGAUAAUUUGGGAGCAGCAGCUCCCUCCAGAGCUGUGCCUCUCCCACCUGCCACCAUCUGGAUGCAGCUGGGGUUUGUCCCCAGGGAAGCUUGGUCCUGAAGGUGCCGAGGUUGGGAGGUGGGGGUCUGUAAGAGACAGAGCCUCACAGGAAGUCUUCACUGGGGAUGUUGCCUGCAGAGGGGAUCCUGGGACCUGGGGCUCUCUCAGGCCUCCUGUCUUGCCGUGUGACCGCCUCCUUCCACACAUGCCAAUCACUGUCAGGCCCUUGCCUCCAACACUGUGAGCUGAACAAACCUCUUUUCUUUAUAGUUAGCCUGUCCCAGGUACUUCAUUUAGUAACAGAAAUGAACUCAUGCAUCACCCAACCCCAGCCUGUGGGAGAAGAUGGGGAGAGGUGUAGACAGCCUCAGAAUAUGGUGUUCUUGGUGACAAGCCCUAGCCAAUAGGAAGAGGAGGGUUCUACCCAUCCCCAGAGCCAAGGGCAAGGGCACCAGAGGAUAACCUGCAGCAAUCCGGGGUCUUGUUCUCUGGCCGGGUGAGCACUGAGCUGCAGGUGUCACAGUGGUGUUUGCCACUGCAGCAAGGCCUGGCAUGAGCAUUUCUGGGGGGGUGGCGAGGGGUGCUCUUGGCUUCCUGAGUGUGGUUUGCCCUCCUUUUUGGCAUACUUCCCUCUGACCUUAGGGGACACGUGUGCCCUAGAGGGGACAUGCUUACGCUGAGACCAGCACCUGCUCCGGGGGAGUAGCCUUUUCCGUGCAUCUUAAAGGGACCGUGAGUGACUGCCCUGGAAAGCAGAUGGGACAGCCCUGGGCAGGGGGACCUGCCUGUGUGUGAAAGGGCACCGAGGAGGGGGAAGGCUGGGAGUCACUCACUCUGACACCUGACAGCCACCAAAGCUGACCCUCUGCUUCCUGCCUCUCUCCAGCCCCACACAAGUUUGAAUUAGGAGAGCAGUCUCUGAACCAGGCCCUACCUUCAGUCAGACAGCCAGGACACAGCCCUAACCUCUAUGAGGUUGGAAGCAGGGAAAAGCCAAGUUCAAGUUUUUACAAAGAAUAGGACUUGGUCUUAAACCUCAGAGGUGACUAUUGAAACUUAAAACAUGGACAAGAUUUCAUGGAAGGAGCCAGAGCCAGUACUGAAAAGGAAACCAGGAGGAUUCAAGAAAAGUUAAAAACCUGCCCCUUCCCCUGCCCCUUCCCUGCC